rnacentral:rRNA from 1 species
UACGAAGGGGGCUAGCGUUGUUCGGAAUUACUGGGCGUAAAGCGCGCGCAGGCGGUCUUCCAAGUCAGUGGUGAAAGCCCGGAGCUCAACUCCAGAACUGCCUUUGAUACUGAGGACCUUGAGUUCGGGAGAGGUGAGUGGAACUGCGAGUGUAGAGGUGAAAUUCGUAGAUAUUCGCAAGAACACCAGUGGCGAAGGCGGCUCACUGGCCCGAUACUGACGCUGAGGUGCGAAAGCGUGGGGAGCAAACAGG